AAGGCCUGAUGUGUGUGAGAUUACCCGCUGAAUUUAAGCAUAUAAGUAAGCGGAGGAAAAGAAACUAACUAGGAUUCCCUUAGUAAUGGCGAAUGAACAGGGAUCAGCUCAGUGCCAAAUCGGAAUCACUUGUGGUUCUGAAAUGUGGCUUGAAGGCAGUACCAGUGGCAUCGCGGACGAAAGUCUCUUGGAAAAGAGCGUCAUAGAGGGUGAGAAUCCCGUGAGUCGUUCGCCGUUUGUCACGUACGGUCUGCGUUCUAACGAGUCGCGUUCCUUGGGAUUGGAGCGUAAACGGGUGGUAAAUUUCAUCCAAAGCAAAAUAUAUACUCGAGACCGAUAGCACAAAAGUACCGUGAGGGAAAGGUGAAAAGAACUUUGAGAAGAGGGUUAAAUAGUGCCUGAAAUCGUUGAGAAGGAAGCGGAUGCCGCCGUUGCAUAUGCUGAUUGUAGGAUUGCUGCUCGCUCCUGUCUUCUGCUACUCAUUCACAGACCUGGUCGUGUUGAGCAGUUGUUUGGCAGA
rnacentral:ncRNA from 1 species